GAUGACUUGUGACAUCAGGAGGCCAUGUGGUGAUGCCAUUCUAACAGUGCCCCACAGUGACCAAAACACAGCAGUGCUGGGAGUUGGGGCCUAUGGCCUGAGAGUUGCCACAGUUUUGAAGGAGGAGGAAGGGGACCUGCAGGGGCUCCAGACACUUCUUCAUCCCAUGUGUGUGGUCCCUUCGAUGAGAGGAUGGAAAGUGUUCCAAGAGGGUCUGGACGGUAUCCAUUGUUCCCACUCAGCUGCCUACAAGUGGAGCCACCUGGAUGUGGAGCUGCUACUGUCAUUGAGGCAGACCCGGUUACAAAGCCCUUAAAAUACAAACAAUGAACUGGCUUGGAAAAAUGAAAUCUCACACAGUGGCACUCAGUCCUGGGAAAACAUCCUUCUGUCUUCCAAAUUGAACUGUUCCCUAUUUGCUGUUUCAUUAAAUCAGAAUAUUUUCUCACAAAGAAAUAGAUUCUGCACUGAAUGACAAAAACACUGGUCCCUGAAAUUUGUGCUCUGCCUGACUAGGAAUGAUCUGAGAAAGAGAAGGAAAACAAGAUUAUUCUGUUAUGAAUGAAGUAAAACACAGAUGUUACUUUGGGUGUUAUAGAUCUCAAUCAUUAUUUGAAGUCACUGUUUGUGUCCACAAAAAAAAUUGUCC
rnacentral:lncRNA from 1 species